AUACGUAGGGUGCAAGCGUUAAUCGGAAUUACUGGGCGUAAAGCGUGCGCAGGCGGCUUUGCAAGACAGAUGUGAAAUCCCCGGGCUUAACCUGGGAACUGCAUUUGUGACUGCAUGGCUGGAGUGCGGCAGAGGGGGAUGGAAUUCCGCGUGUAGCAGUGAAAUGCGUAGAUAUGCGGAGGAACACCGAUGGCGAAGGCAAUCCCCUGGGCCUGCACUGACGCUCAUGCACGAAAGCGUGGGGAGCAAACAGGAUUAGAUACCCUGGUAGUCCACGCCCUAAACGAUGUCAACUGGUUGUUGGACGGCUUGCUGUUCAGUAACGAAGCUAACGCGUGAAGUUGACCGCCUGGGGAGUACGGCCGCAAGGUUGAAACUCAAAUGAAUUGGCGGGG
rnacentral:rRNA from 1 species